AUUACUAGUGGUCCUAUGUAACCUUUGAUUUUAUUUUUGCAUGAAAGUGUUCUGGGAUGUUGCAGAUUUGAAAACACUGUAAAUCAAGGCACAGUUAAUUCAUACUCAAUAGGAGACAAUACCACCUGGUCAACAUUACAGUAACUUCAAAAAUGCAUAGGUAGAGUUUGAUUAUAUGCAGGUUUUUAUGGCUCUUCCAAUAUCAUUAAAACUUGAUAAAAGGACAAGAAAAUUCAGACAGAGUUAUAGUUCAUUUGAACAUAUAAAGGAUAUCAGAUCAGGUAUUUACUGACGUAGUCUGAAGAAAGUCUAUGGUGAUGACAAAUGGCUCAGAGGCCCUUUCCUCACUGAGUAAAUGGAGCAGAAACACCACCCAGUGAAGCCCCAAUUGACAGUGAUGGAAAUGCUCACCAGGCGCCAAGGAUAAAACAACAAUUGAAGCAAAUGUAAUAGGAGAGCUCAAGAGGAGAGGGUGCCAUGGGCUAGAAAACUUUGCUGCAAGAACUAGCAGGAUGGACUGAAUACAGAUAAAAUCUCUAUCCAAUAUUGUCUUCAGAUGGUGUAUUCAUAUGCAAGAGGAGGAGUGACACUGAUGAUAUGUGGUCACUCCUAUGGAGAUAGGAUGGAAAAGGACGAUGUGGAGGUGAAAAUCCUUUUAGCAGGACCCGAUAAAGGGAAGCAAAUGAUGAGCAUAUACAAAUGGUUUGGAUGAUUGGGAUUGGGAUUCAUAAGAGGAUGGGUGACGUGACAGAUAUUCCACUCGACGCUGGUGAUGGGGAGAAGGAAAAGAUAAUAACCGAUGGUGUGUAGAAUAGAGGCAGUGAGUGUGGCUUGUUUAUUUAUAGAUGGGGAGUUAAUGGAAAUGAUGGUAGAUUGAGAAAGAGGAUCUAGUGGAUAAAAUGAGGGGUUUUUGCUUUUUAAUUGUUUUUGUGGGUUUUUCUUUGAGCAUGAAUUUUUAAGAAGACAAAUGAAAAGGGAAAAUUUUAGAGAAAAUUUGGAGCUCAAGUAAGAUACCAUCUUUCCUGAGCAUAUUUUGAUAAAUUAAAGGCCACCACUUGUCUGAAAAGGAGAAGGAGGUAUUUGAAAUGGUGGCAAUGGUGAUAUGAGGAAUGUCAGUAGAGGAGAUAUAUUUUAAUUCACAGUUUUGCAUAUAGGUUGACUUCUUAAAGAAAUUAAGAAGGCCUAAGGGCUGAAAGUACCCAUGGAGUUCCAGAAUUUAAUCUUAUGUGUACUGCACUAAAGAUAGACUCCUCUCCUUCCUAGUAUCUGUUGACCACUUCCUGUAUAACAGGUCCUCUGCAUUUUCCCAUUGAAAUCUCACAACUCUUUGCAGGAACACUAACAUUCUGUCAAAUUUUAUGUUGGGAAACCAAGGCCCGGAAGGUUGAGUAAGUAGGAGUCAGUUAUACAUCUGGCUUGGGUCAUAAUUGGGAUCUAAUCCGGUCUUUCUGCCGGAACUCUUAAUUCUCAAUAUAUAAUCUAAAGGUUAAAGCAAAUACUUUUUCUGACUUAAUCUGAUGUGUGUGAUUGUGUGAGUAUAAAAAGGGAUUCUUUGAUUUAUCAUGUGAAUUUCCUUCUCUGCUUAAUUGUAAGCUCCUUGUGUGUAGGGACCCUGCCCUCAUCUGUAUUAAGUGGAACAUUUUUAUUUCUAAACUGAAAACUCUUUCUAAAUUUUUAUUCUUUACAGAGGUAUUUCUAGGCAUGUAUUUCACAGAAUAUUAAAGUGGUAUUUUAUAUUCCAAGUAAUAAAAAAAAAAAUACUCUUUCCACCAUGGAUUUCAGAGGAAGCUGGAGUUAGCCUGCAUCUGCAUAUUGACUAUCUCUUUCUUUUUAGAGGACAUUUUAUGACCUUGGGUGGCACAUCUUAUAUUAGAUUCUGAGUAUGGAAGGAUCACAGGGUAUCUUUUUCCAAUACCCAUAUCAUUAUAUAAGUUAAAUGCCACCAAGAAAAUAGAGUCUGUUUUGCUUUACUUAGAUAGAACCUAUUUAGAAUUUGUCAAAGUGCUCUAUAUAUAAAUAACCUGGAGAAGUUAGUCACAGAGGACUUUCAAAUACUUUAAAAAUUACUCUCCCCACCCUACCCUCACUAUUUCAUAUCUCUAUUGAAAUAAGCUUAGGGAUCUCAUGUGUCCCAGACCAGCAUCAAAGUCAAAAUCCCAUUUUGCAAGGGAUAUAAAUCUCUGAAUUUGAAAUAGCUCUUGAAAAUGUUUGGAGUUUUAAUUUCAUACUUGCCUAAUUUUAAUGUGGGUCAAGAAAAUGGAAUGGCAAAUGCAACUGGUAGUUGGAAUAAUGGGACAUCUACCAGAGAGAACAAAAGAGAUAGCAUUAAUAAUGUAUUUUGAACCUUGGUGUGUAGAAGAGAAAUAAUUGUUUUAAUUAAUAAAACUACAAUAUUUUGAGGUGAAGCGCACUGUUAUUCAUGGGACUCAUGAUUGUUACUAAUUACAUAUCUUCAACUCAUAUGUUAUUUACCUGCCACUGCUUUGCAUUAUCAGAAUUUCCUGCUCUGACUUUUAACAACCUACUGCUUUCUUUCCUCUUCAAGGUUCUUUGUACUUUGUCUUAGCAGUGGAAUUGCUGGCAAGGCUUGCCUUCAUUUGUACUUCAUCCUUUCUGUUCUUUAAAUUACAGUCUCCUUCCUCUGUCCCAUCGAAAUCUCCUAAGGACUUUGAAGCUAAUUUAUAGUGAUACUUUCACUGCCUCCACUUAUUAAGGACUGAUAGGUGAUGAAGAUGAGCUUGCUCUACAACAAGAGUGAGCCUGUUGAAGUCAGUGCCCUCUUAUUUGCUGUUUAUCCUCAAUUUAAUAAAGUUGAUUGACUUAUAAAGUUUGCUUGGUGGGAGAAGUGUUUUCCAUCUAGAUGGACUGCUCAAUUAUUUCACUGUAAUUUGCCUAUACCAUUCUUGCUGUGGAUUUCAAGGUGAUCUUGCUCUUUAGUGACGGAUGGAUGCUCAGAAAUCAUACAGGUUUAUGCCUACAGGAUAGUACCGAGAUAGAAUAACUGUUGCUAACAAAUUUCAGUCCACCAGGAUAGCAAUGACCAAGCAGUCCUCAUCGGGGGAAAACAUAGAAGUUGAUUGAUUCCACGAUAACGCUGAGCCGCACAUUACUUCUCUGCCUUCUACCAAGGAGAGGUAUUGUUGUCCAGAAUUGUCACUCUCCUGUGAGACUGAGGACAGUCUCCUUUCCACUUCUUGGGCACAUGGACAGUUAUGAAUAUUGGCCCCAUUGGAGGGUCCACCCUGUGUGUCAGUGACAAUCAACAGAAUGGUCAUGCUCCUUCUCUUUCUGAAAACCCUUCCCCAGAUCACUCUGUUAGCAAAUUCAAUGAAAGAAGAGCUGUGUUGAUGGAGAGUAUUCUCACUACACCUCCAUGAGCAUUCUGUGCACACCAGUCUCUUUAGAAUAUGAGCUAAAUAUUGAAGAAGGACCUUAAUCUCAUGUUGGUGCCCCCAAAUAACCACUUCUAUUCUAAAUCUUCUAUCUUAAAUCUAUUCUAAACCUACAGUACUCGUGUAUCGAAAGAACAAUUUCUCCUAAUACAUUAGUCAACUAAGUUUGCAAGUAGUUUCAGGUCCUCCUGAGACUAUGUGAACUAGGUUGACUUCUCAGGGUUCGUCCUGCGCUGACAUGAAAGCAGCAAAGCCAGGGUUCGCGUUUCUCUUUUUUUAGCGAGACCACCUAUGUUUCUUUAAAGCAGCCAGUGAGUAUAAUUUAUCGAGGUGACUUCGACUUUUCCACCAUUUAAUCCUAAUUCCUAAAAUGGGCUAUGUUGUAAAUAUUUGGGUCCCCUUUCCUUCUGAGUUGGGGAAAGUUUUGUCUUGGUUUGUGACUUUUUGUUAUUUUGUAGUACCUCUUAUAGUUCCCUCCUUUUCCACUUGAGUUAUGGGACCUCUCCAUGUUUAUUGUUCUUAGAGAGAUUUUUCUAUAGAAAGAAUUUGGUGAUUGGGUCUUAAGGGAACAUAUAAAAGUAAUAUUUAUUGCUGGGUGUAAUUUGUUUCUUUAGGUAGUCAAUGUAGGUACCCAGUAUAAAAUCUCUAUCAUUUCUCCUUUCGGCCCAAUGAGUAGGCUCACUUUUCAGAAAAGAUUAAUUUCAGAAGACAAACAGAUUUAGCCUUUUUGGUACUUUAGUUCUGGCUUAAAAGAUAUAACUAUAUCCCUAUUAAUAAUGUAAUAUUUAAAAAUUAGUACCAAAAUAGUUCACCUUACUUAAUAUUUGAAAAUACCAUUAGUGCUUUGACAUCAGAAUGAUAUUCAUUAACCAUUUCCCACCUCCCUACCACUUCCUGGCCCCCCCAGACAGACUCACAUCCAUAUCCAGCAGCAGUUAUGACUACCAGUGAUUUUUAUGGGUUUUGAGAUGUUGGUAUUGUUUGUAACAUAGAUAAAGAAUGGGUUUGUUUUUGGCAAUUAAGUAUAACACCUACACCUGUUACUUUAGCAGUGCAACUUUGGACAAGUCAUUGAAUGACUGUGAGCUAUAAUUUCCUCUUCUAAAAUAGGGGUCAUGUGUAUACCUGUUACAGGACUCCUCCCUCUCUUAGAGGAGUUAUCUUGUGAGUUUCAUGCUAGAAUCUUGCUAGUAUCUCAUGAGUUUUAUGGCUUAUUCUGAAAGAUUUGAGCUCUAGGGUGAUGCAAAUUCCAGUGUUCCCAAAUGAUCAUUACUUAGACAUGGUAAAAGCAUGUCAUCUUUUAAUGAGUUGAGAAGUAGAUUAGUUUGUCCUGACGCUAUAGAGCAAAUUCAUAACAGCCUGAGAGUUUUACUCUAUUACUAAUUCUACUCAUGGAAUUCAUAACUUUGCCAAAGGCCAAGUUUUUAUUUUUGCUUUUUAUUUAAGGCCAUACCUGCAGCACAUGGAAAUUCCCGGCUAGGGGCAGCUAGAGCUGUCAGCCUACACCACAGCCACAGCAAUGCAGGAUCCGAGCACAUCUGCGACCUACACCACAGCUCAGGGCAACUCCGGACCUCCGACCCACUGAAUGAGGCCGGAUUGAACCCACAUCCUCAUGGAUAUGUUUAUGUACGUACAGACAGUCAGAUUCGUUUCCACUGCACUACAACGGGAACUCCAAGGCCAAGUUUUUUAGAAGUCCAUAGCACCACUUUGAGGGUUUUAAGUCAUAUCUUAAAAACAUAUUUCUUUCUUUCUAGUGCCAUUUCUUCCAUUCCGGGGCCCUGAGCCUUUUCCUUUAUUUCUCAUUAUAAAUUACCCUUAUUUAACUAACACCAUCAAAACAAUAUCCUCUAUUUUUUUUUUUUGCAAGGUAUUGGGGAAAAAGGAUGAAAGACAGUCCCUGGUAUCGAGAGGCUCACAGUGUAGUAGGUGAAUCUGACAGGAAACGAUUAAAAUUAAAUGUAGUAAUUUCUAAGAAGAGAGAUAGACAUAGAAUUCUACUAGUGCCAGAAAACGAUUAACGUAGGUUUGCCACCUAGGUAGCAACUAAUAGACUUAAUAAUUCAGGACAGAAUGUUUUGGUGAAAGUAGGUGAUAUCAGAUGUAAGUCCUCAUUCAUGAGCACGUGUUAUGCAGCGCAAGGAGAGAAGAGGGCACAUAUUGGGGAAAAGCAUCCACAAAGGCACAGAGGCAAGAGGUCAUAGCCUCUUUGAGAAACAACAAAUAGAAUAUGCUUAAAUGGAGUAUUUGUGCAGGGAAAUGACGAGAAGUGUGUAUCAGUCAGGGUUCUCCAGAAACACAGAACUGAUGUGAUAUACAGUGUCCCCGCCCCUUAUCUACAGGGAAUAUAUUCCAAGACUGCCAUCAGGUACCUGAAACUGUGGAUAGUGCCAAAUGCUAUCCUGGAAGGACAUUUGGUUCCGUCCAAAAGGUGAUUGAUAUUUGAUCCUGUCCAAAACAUCCAUCAAACAUUUUUUCCAUCCCCAAAAGUUUCUUGAAAUUUAGUCCUGUCCAAAACAUCCAUAAGGCAUUUGGUCCACAUGAAAAUGUCCUGAAAUUUGGUGCUAUCAAAAAUGUUCAUGAGAAGAGUUCCUGUUGCGGUACAGCGGAAACAAAUCCAACUAGUAUUCAUGGGGAUGAUGCAGGUUCGAUCCCUGGCCUUGCUCAGUGGGUCGGGGAUCUGGCAUUUCUGUGAGCUGUGGUGUAGGUUGCAGACGUGGCUUGGAUCCUGCAUUGCUGUGGCUGUGGUGUAGGCCAGCAGCUGUAGCUUGGAUUCAACUUCUAGCCGGAACUUCCAUAUGCUUCAGGUGCAGC
rnacentral:lncRNA from 1 species